GGAAAAAAAAAAGUGCAAUGCUUACAAUUUCAAAGGCUGUCAUUGCCUCAGAAAGAUCACGAGACAAUCCAUUUAGUUCCUUGUGUUUUCUCCCAAGUUGCGUUGAGGUGGCUUGCAUAGCGCUUGUCCAGUUUUUAGCCGACUGGCAAGCAAUGACAAUUCAUUGCAUGUUUGUAAUGUGCCUGCUGAAGGGCUGCACGGAUAUCUAUUUGCUGACAGAGUAGCAUGUCUAGUUUUGCAUGUUUCUGUCAUUCUGUUCUUUUCUGUUCAUCUAACAUAAGGCAAGAAAAGUGGAAAAAAAGUAGUAGAAAAAAAACACAGUUGAAUUUUCUUGGAAAAUGAAGAAUCAUUUGAAUAUGCAAUUGUUAUCAAGGAUGUUGUUACAAAUUAGUUGAUGGCUUUGAGUUUCAGAUUUAAAUUAUUUCAAAUUAUACUGCCAUAAAAGCCAUGGGUGUCACAAUCUAUAACUAGAUUGUUGCAGCAUAGUCAUGUAGGCAUUUCAGCCACUUCAUUUUUUCCACUGCUACGGAGUGGAAACUGCCUAUUAAGGUUUGAUUAGUAGUUAUGGUGAAACUUCUUAUUAAAAAGUCAAAAUGGGUGGAAUCGAUAAGGGAAACAUCUGUUUCUUUGGUAACCAAGUUGAUGCAGCAAAGUGAUUGAGUAGUCCAGUUUUAUCAAGAAUGUAGUGGAUCAUGUAGGUUCCAUUUAUUAAUUGUUUUUUAAUAAUCAUGUUAUCUUGAUCAUCAUAUUACAAUAAAAAAAUAACAUUUGAAGCUAGCAUCCAAAUCUUUCUAUAAGCAUCCUGCAUUUUUCUGUUUAUUUUCCUUUUAUUGCUUUAAAGAUCAUGUUGAUGUUACUGUGAUGGAAAUUACAGGGAGAGAAG
rnacentral:misc_RNA from 1 species